rnacentral:rRNA from 1 species
UGAAACACGGACCAAGGAGUCUAACAUGUGCGCGAGUCACUGGGCUCUACGAAACCCAAAGGCGCAAUGAAAGUGAAKGUCUGCCCCCGGCGGUGGACUUGGGUAGGAUCCCGGCUGAGCCUCCGUGGGCCCGGGCGCACUACCGGCCCCUCUGGGUGCUCCACUCCGGUGGCCCCAGGGGGAGCGAGAGCGUACACGUUGGGACCCGAAAGAUGGUGAACUAUGCCUGAGCAGGUUGAAGCCAGGGGAAACCCUGGUGGAGGACCGUAGCGAUUCUGACGUGCAAAUCGAUCGUCCGACUUGGGUAUAGGGGCGAAAGACUAAUCGAACCAUCUAGUAGCUGGUUCCCUCCGAAGUUUCCCUCAGGAUAGCAGGCGCUCGAGGGACAGUUUUAUCCGGUAAAGCGAAUGAUUAGAGGCCUUGGGGUCGAAACGUCCUCAACCUAUUCUCAAACUUUAAAUGGGUAAGAAGGACCCCUCGCCCGAGCGGAGGGGUGCCCCUUGAAUGCGAGUGCCUAGUGGGCCACUCUUGGUAAGCAGGACUGGCGCUGUGGGAUGAACCAAACGCCCGGUUAAGGUGCCUAACGCGAAGACGCUAAUGAGAUCCCAUAAAAGGUGUUGGUUGAUACAGACAGCAGGACGGUGGCCACGGAAGUUGGAACCCGCUAAGGAGAGUGUAACAACUCACCUG